rnacentral:tRNA from 1 species
GGGUUCAUAGCUCAGUGAUGGAGCAUUUGACCGCAAAUCAGGAGGUCACCGGUUCAAACUUGAUUGGCCCUU